UGACGUACUUUGGAAAUCGUUAUCGUCGUAACAAGGCGACACCUGUGUGCACCCGCGUAGGUUAGGUAGGUGUACGUACCAUAAUUCAUGCCCGUGUACAGGUAAAUAUCGAAACGCACGUCUACUUCAUUGUAUAUAAUAUAUGACUAUCAAUAUUGUUGUACAACUGUCGUCGCCGUCGCGGUCACCGGCGCCGCCGCAGCCCGCAAUACAGUUUUCGCACGACGCGCGUUUCGUCUCUGCGUGCGUGUGUCCGGCUGCACACGGUUUAUUAUAAUAUAGCGUCGACACCGGAAAAAUCGAUAGAAUAAAAAAAUCAUCACGCUAUAGUAAAAAAAAAUGUGCUCUCGCGGGACUAAUAUAUUUUACUAUAUGGUUAUUAUUGUACUUUUAGUUCGGUGAAAAUAGUUUGAUUUUUGUUUAAUAUACAUAUUAUAUCAACUCACCGCCGCGGUGCUUUCCAAUUUCCAGAUAUUAUUUCCAAUAUUAAGUUUUCACCUAUACCACCACCAAUUGUGCCCGUUUAUGUUACUGUGUGUGUGUGUGUGUGUGUGUGUGUGUGUGUGUAUGUGAUCAUGGAUAACUGAUCUGCUCGCUUCGUUGGUACGUGACAUUUCCGGGACUCAUUAUCGCACGUGUCUGUGUCGGAUACAUACCGGAGGAAACGCACCGAGCUAGGCAACCUCAGGCCACCAUCGUAUUAUGACGUGCUGAUGCGAUACGUUCAAUUUAGACCAUUGUCAAAACUGCAACGAUGGUGCAUUAGACAUAAGUGCAUAACACCCAUCCAUGCAAGGCACACGGAAAAACGGGACCACGACUUCUGCUCAUCGACGGCGGUCGGCCACCUCCUAUUGGGUACCAAAACAGGGUGAGUGAGAAUAAAUUACCUCCCUCCUGGCCGUUAGCAACGUAUAUUUGCUUGUAAUUAUAUUCCUUUGGAUACCGACAUAACAUUUUUAUUUCAAACAUUUGGGUGAACACCUGCCGAUGGAACUGCCUUAAUGCAAUCCUCGCUCGAUUUUUUAACGGGCGGACUCCGGGUAUUUUUUAAAUAAAUUUGAUUUUAACGUGAAAAAAUUCAUGACCCUGUUUUAAGCACCCAUUAACUGCAGUAAGUGUUUAGUUUUAUUAAUUAAUUUAAUUAAUUCUCUCGUUUAGCCUAUUCGUGAAUCGUAUAUAGAGCCAUAGAUUACUUUCCAUUAUACCACUUAUGAAAAUGUAACUCACGUAGUUUAAAAAAACAUUUUACUCUUUAACAUUGAAGUAGGUACUUACUUCUACUUGGCAUUAAUUGGCUCGUUCAUAUCUCUAUAGAGUAUAGAUUGUACCUACUAGAUGAUUUUUUUUAUUAGGUACAACAACUUUAUAUAUUACAUCUAUGGUCAAUAAGCAUAAUCUGCAUAUAAGCCACACAACCACUCAUUAUAACUAACAACUAUACAGUAUAUUAUACAUACUCGUAAUUUAGUAAUUAGAUAUAGUAAUUUUUAUUACUAAUCAGUAAUCUCUAUUAAGAAGUAUUAACAUGUUUCCAUAUAUUGUUAAUAGAUCCUUACUUAUUUGUUACAUAUCAAUAAACAAAGACCUAUUAUUGUGAUGAUGACAGUCUACCGUUAAGAUUCUUUUAUCAUAGUUACAAAUUAUAAGUAUUUAUGUUUUGUGUUUAGUCAUAAAUCAUAAUAUUAUGUAUUUAUAUUACUAUUUACAUUAAAUAGGUACUCAAGUACAGCCAAAUUCCAAAAUAGUUUUAAUAUCGUUAAAGGGCAGGGCAGUGUAAGAAAUAUAAUAACACUCGAAUCGGUUGAGUAAGAUUGUAGAAGUGUAGAACAAGGACUUUAGAAGUGUUCACAUUUAAUUUUGAUGGGUGGGUACCUAUCUUACUUGUACGUUUAGACGGUACAGACACGUUAGGCAGUUAACGAAUGAUUUUAAGUAAAUUUAAAUCAGAAAAAUAUAUAAGAAAGGUUAAAGUUAAAAGUUUAUAGGAUUAUAAACAAAUUAGUUUAAUAAUACUCGUAAUAGCCACGUUGGACAGUCAAUAGAAUUAAAAAAUAUAUAUAAGUUGUAAAUAGUUAGCUUAAUAGUAUAAUUACAUUUUCUAAAAAUAAUAAGUAGACAGGUACCAAAGUACUUAGGUACUCAUUUCAUUAAUAUUGCUAAUUUAAUAGUACAAUAUUAUCUACGACAUGCAUGCGCACGACGCACACAGUUGAUGAUAAUAUUUUGUAUAAAUUUUCAUUACAAUUUUUUCAAAUGAUUUCCCUAAUCUGCAUAAUAGGAAACUAGAAUUCUUAAUAAAUUUGGAUUUAAGAGUUGACAGAUCAAUUUUCUAAGGGUUUUUUCCUAGCUUUGCCCUCAGAAGAACUCGUGCACGGAUCAAGAUAGAAAUUAGACAAAAACACUUUACAUUAAUAAGCAUAUUAGCCAUUUGGCAUUAUAAUCUAUAAUAAUAUAUUAUAACCCGAAAUAUCACAACAAACUCGAAUCUUGAUAUAAUUGAUGUUUUAUUGUCGCACAUAUAUAAUAUCGUACACAAAUGUCAAGUCGAUAGUCACCGAAACAAAACCGUGUAAAUGUGAUCUAACUUUAAGUACCUAUAAUAAAGUAUGUUUUUAAUAUUAUUGUCAAUAAAUGGACGCAAGUAAAAAACAGCAGAUAAAUUAUUAAUUAAAUCAUUUUAUUUUUUCGUAUUUUAAACACGAAUAUUUGCAAACUACUCACGAUUACUAUUUUUUAAUUUUUACACCGAAAUUCCUGUGUUAUCACUUUUAUAUAGGUUUGAUUACGAUCUUAUCCACUCGGUACUGUCCACAUGAGUAAAUAAGUAGGUAUUUACGAGUACAUAAUACUCGAGUGCGUUUGGAAAAUUGCCAGUGGUUCUCAAUUUAAAAAUAAAAAUGCACUUUCAAAAUAUUUAGACGAUCCGUUUUUUAAUUAAAAACUCCUAACAUCGUCAACACUGUCUAUACAGUAUACACUAGGUAUACUAUUUUUUGAAACUCAAGAUUUUAUAAUAUUUCCCAUGUACCUAUGUAUAGGUUGUUCGCUAAUUGAUAUACCGGGUUACAAUUCUUUUAUAUAAAAUUCCUAAGUAUUAAUAGUCUCUUGGCACAAAAUCUGCAGUUGUUGUAAAUUUAACCAGUUAGUUUUUGGCUUGGUACCUAUAAUAUUUUAAUGACUAAUUUGUGAAUUCUAAAAACCAGUUUGUCGUUAUUUUCAAUUGACAUAUUUUUCGAAUCGAUGGGACGAAAUUAAACUUCGUGGAUAUUUUAAUAUGAUACAACGUAUAGAGUAGCUACAGGUACCAGCUACUAUCUACUUAUCUACGGGCUAAUUUUAAAUUUACUUUUGCUAAAACUCGUUAAAUUCUGAGUUUUGCCAUUCUUGGACCAUCGUUUUCAACACAAAAAAACAUAGAAAUUGCAUCAAAAAUAAAAUUAAGGGUGUCCAGUGUAAAAGAAAAUAUAAUUAAUACAAGUAAAAGGUAUUCAGCGGUAUUAUCGUUACUGAUAUUUUGUUCUUAAAUAUAGUAUUGAUAUAGUUGUUUAUUUAUUUUAAAAUUUAAAAUUAAUACUAGAAAAUACGUAUAGGUACUUAUAUAAAUUAAAAAGCAGAUAAUGUUUUUCUUAAAAAACAAAUUUCAAGCAAUCCAUACAUUUAGCGUCAUUAAUGUCAUUAAUGCCGACUGCCAGGCAGCAAUAUACCUACAAUAUUGUAUUUUCUGUGUAAGACGUAAACAUGCACCAUGUGUAUUGGAGAUAAUAUUAUAAUAAUAAUAU